GUUAUUCACCCAAGCCCCUCUUUACUUCCCUAGCUCUGUGUCCCACACCUCCAUCUUCUCUCAAAGAUGUACUGUUGGAUUAAGUGAGAAGGAGUUGAGGGCUUUUUGUGGGUCUCCUGUUGUCUUGUUCUUUAGGAUCGAGAAUGCCAGACGGAGCCUCCUCCCAGGACAAACUUUUCAGCCACAGCCAAUCAGUGGGAGAUCUAUGAUGCCUACGUAGAGG
rnacentral:sRNA from 1 species